rnacentral:rRNA from 1 species
UACGUAGGUGGCAAGCGUUGUCCGGAUUUAUUGGGUUUAAAGGGUGCGCAGGCGGUCCCAUAAGUCAGUGGUGAAAUCCUCUAGCUCAACUAGAGAUGUGCCAUUGAUACUGCGGGACUUGAGUGAAGUCGAAGUAGGCGGAAUUGACGGUGUAGCGGUGAAAUGCUUAGAUAUCGUCAAGAACACCGAUAGUGAAGACAGCUUACUAGGCUUAUACUGACGCUGAAGCACGAAAGCGUGGGGAGCAAACAGG